rnacentral:rRNA from 1 species
GACGAACGCUGGCGGCGUGCUUAACACAUGCAAGUCGAACGGAAAGGCCCCUUUGGGGGUACUCGAGUGGCGAACGGGUGAGUAACACGUGAGUAACCUGCCCUUGACUUCGGGAUAACUUCAGGAAACUGGGGCUAAUACCGGAUAGGAAUCCUUGCUGCAUGGUGGGGGUUGGAAAGCUUCGGCGGUUUUGGAUGGACUCGCGGCUUAUCAGCUUGUUGGUGGGGUAGUGGCUUACCAAGGCUUUGACGGGUAGCCGGCCUGAGAGGGCGACCGGCCACAUUGGGACUGGGAUACGGCCCAGACUCCUACGGGGGGCAGCAGUGGGGAAUAUUGCACAAUGGGCGGAAGCCUGAUGCAGCAACGCCGCGUGCGGGAUGACGGCCUUCGGGUUGUAAACCGGUUUCAGCAGGGGCGAAGCUUGUGGUGACGGUACCUGCAGAAGAAGCACCGGCUAACUACGUG